GGAAAAGGGGGGGCGGGCUAACACAUGCAAGUCGAGCGGAAACGAGUUAACUGAACCUUCGGGGAACGUUAACGGCGUCGAGCGGCGGACGGGUGAGUAAUGCCUGGGAAAUUGCCCUGAUGUGGGGGAUAACCAUUGGAAACGAUGGCUAAUACCGCAUAAUAGCUUCGGCUCAAAGAGGGGGACCUUCGGGCCUCUCGCGUCAGGAUAUGCCCAGGUGGGAUUAGCUAGUUGGUGAGGUAAUGGCUCACCAAGGCGACGAUCCCUAGCUGGUCUGAGAGGAUGAUCAGCCACACUGGAACUGAGACACGGUCCAGACUCCUACGGGAGGCAGCAGUGGGGAAUAUUGCACAAUGGGCGCAAGCCUGAUGCAGCCAUGCCGCGUGUAUGAAGAAGGCCUUCGGGUUGUAAAGUACUUUCAGCAGUGAGGAAGGUGGGUAUGUUAAUAGCAUACACAUUUGACGUUAGCUGCAGAAGAAGCACCGGCUAACUCCGUGCCAGCAGCCGCGGUAAUACGGAGGGUGCGAGCGUUAAUCGGAAUUACUGGGCGUAAAGCGCAUGCAGGUGGUUUGUUAAGUCAGAUGUGAAAGCCCGGGGCUCAACCUCGGAAUUGCAUUUGAAACUGGCAAACUAGAGUACUGUAGAGGGGGGUAGAAUUUCAGGUGUAGCGGUGAAAUGCGUAGAGAUCUGAAGGAAUACCGGUGGCGAAGGCGGCCCCCUGGACAGAUACUGACACUCAGAUGCGAAAGCGUGGGGAGCAAACAGGAUUAGAUACCCUGGUAGUCCACGCCGUAAACGAUGUCUACUUGGAGGUUGUGGCCUUGAGCCGUGGCUUUUCGGAGCUAACGCGUUAAGUAGACCGCCUGGGGGAGUACGGUCGCAAGGAUUAAAACUCCAAAUGAAUUUGACGGGUGGCCCCGCAACAAGCGGUUGGAACCAUGUGGUUUUAAUUCGAAGGCAACCGCGAAAGAACCUUUACCUUACUCUUGGACAUCUACAGGAAGCCAGCCGGAAAACCAAGGUGGUGCCUUUCGGGAA
rnacentral:rRNA from 1 species